rnacentral:rRNA from 1 species
UCGCACCUACCGAUUGAGUGGUCCGGUGAAUCUUUCGGACUGCGCGUGGCUUCGUGCUGCGUCGCGGAAAGUCAGGUAAACCUUAUCACUUAGAGGAAGGAG